ACCACAUUUGGACCGUCGGGCUACCGAGCAAAUAUCACCCGCUCGGAGGAAGAUCUUCCCUUUGCGCGU
rnacentral:pre_miRNA from 1 species